AAGAUUCCAUUGAGCCAAUAGAUAACAGUGAUUCCAUUAGUGAAGUGAAAGUCAACCUACAAAAUAACUCUCCUCUCUCUCAUCUCCCUCACUCCAGCCACAAAGAUUUUCAAAGCUCUCGAUCAUCUACUCCAAAGCUAAACUUUUUGGAUUUAAUAAAGAAAUAGAAUUUGCAAGUGAGGGAGUACAAAGAAGAUGAAGCUGGCAUUUAUUGUAAUAUAAAAGUAAAUCUAGAGCCAGCUCUACACAUGGGCAAAUAAUAUUUGAGGCCUCAUCUACUGGAUUUGGGAAAGUUCCUACCAUUCCUUUUCAUUAGAUAAGAAAAGCAGACCUUUUGCUUCUCAGACCCUCUCUCUACUUCAAAGCCGUGUCUACCACCAAUAAUGGCAGUUGCAUAACCCACACAUUUUCAAGGUAUUCAGAGGAGUCAUCUUUUGUUUCAGAAAGCAAGGCCUCCUGAAGAUAGCAAGCCAGAAAGAGAAGUCUCACCUGAAGUUGAACUUUGAUCUUUGACUUUUCAGCUUCUAUAACUG